CAGCAGCCGCGGUAAUACGAAGGGGGCUAGCGUUGUUCGGAAUUACUGGGCGUAAAGCGCACGUAGGCGGAUCGAUCAGUCAGGGGUGAAAUCCCAGGGCUCAACCCUGGAACUGCCUUUGAUACUGUCGAUCUGGAGUAUGGAAGAGGUGAGUGGAAUUCCGAGUGUAGAGGCGAAAUUCGUAGAUAUUCGGAGGAACACCAGUGGCGAAGGCGGCUCACUGGUCCAUUACUGACGCUGAGGUGCGAAAGCGUGGGGAGCAAACAGGAUUAGAUACCCCAGUAGUCCCUGUCUCUUAUAC
rnacentral:rRNA from 1 species